rnacentral:rRNA from 1 species
CAGGGAAUAUUGCACAAUGGGCGAAAGCCUGAUGCAGCGACGCCGCGUGCGGGAUGAAGGCCUUCGGGUUGUAAACCGCUUUCAGUGGGGAAGAAAAUGACGGUACCCACAGAAGAAGCCCCGGCCAACUACGUGCCAGCAGCCGCGGUAAUACGUAGGGGGCGAGCGUUGUCCGGAUUUAUUGGGCGUAAAGAGCUCGUAGGCGGUUUGACAAGUCGGUCGUGAAAGCCCGGGGCUCAACCCCGGAACUGCGGUCGAAACUGUCAUGACUAGUUUCCGGUAGAGGUGAGUGGAAUUCUCGGUGUAGCGGUGAAAUGCGCAGAUAUCGAGAGGAACACCAGUAGCGAAGGCGGCUCACUGGGCCGGUAAAGACGCUGAGGAGCGAAAGCGUGGGGAGCAAACAGGAUUAGAUACCCCCGUAGUCC